UGGGGAAUUUUUGGACAAUGGGCGAAAGCCUGAUCCAGCAAUGCCGCGUGUGUGAAGAAGGCCUUCGGGUUGUAAAGCACUUUUUGUCCGGAAAGAAAUCCUUGGCUCUAAUACAGUCGGGGGAUGACGGUACCGGAAGAAUAAGCACCGGCUAACUACGUGCCAGCAGCCGCGGUAAUACGUAGGGUGCAAGCGUUAAUCGGAAUUACUGGGCGUAAAGCGUGCGCAGGCGGUUUGCUAAGACCGAUGUGAAAUCCCCGGGCUCAACCUGGGAACUGCAUUGGUGACUGGCAGGCUAGAGUAUGGCAGAGGGGGGUAGAAUUCCACGUGUAGCAGUGAAAUGCGUAGAGAUGUGGAGGAAUACCGAUGGCGAAGGCAGCCCCCUGGGCCAAUACUGACGCUCAUGCACGAAAGCGUGGGGAGCAAACAGGAUUAGAUACCCCUGGUAGUCCACGCCCUAAA
rnacentral:rRNA from 1 species